UAGCUCAGCUGGUUAGAGCACAUCACUCAUAAUGAUGGGGUCACAGGUUCGAAUCCCGU
rnacentral:tRNA from 1 species